rnacentral:rRNA from 1 species
UACGAAGGGGGCGAGCGUUGUUCGGAUUUACUGGGCGUAAAGGGUGCGUAGGCGGCGGGUCAAGUCGGGUGUGAAAGCCCCGGGCUCAACCUGGGAAUUGCGCUCGAGACUGGUCUGCUUGAGUUCGGGAGAGGGGAGUGGAAUUCCCAGUGUAGAGGUGAAAUUCGUAGAUAUUGGGAAGAACACCAGUGGCGAAGGCGGCGCUCUGGACCGAGACUGACGCUGAGGCGCGAAAGCGUGGGGAGCAAACAGG